AUACGGAGGGUGCGAGCGUUAAUCGGAAUUACUGGGCGUAAAGGGUGCGUAGGCGGCUUGAUAAGUCGGAUGUGAAAGCCCCGGGCUUAACCUGGGAAUUGCAUUCGAUACUGUCAGGCUAGAGUAUGUCAGAGGUUGGCGGAAUUCCUGGUGUAGCGGUGAAAUGCGUAGAUAUCAGGAGGAACACCAGUGGCGAAGGCGGCUAACUGGGGCAAUACUGACGCUGAGGCGCGAAAGCGUGGGGAGCAAACAGGAUUAGAAACCCCAGUAGUCC
rnacentral:rRNA from 1 species